AACGCGAAGAACCUUACCCAGGCUUGACAUGCAGAGGAAUGUCCUAGAGAUAGGACCGCCCUUCGGGGCCUCUGCACAGGUGCUGCAUGGCUGUCGUCAGCUCGUGCCGUGAGGUGUUGGGUUAAGUCCCGCAACGAGCGCAACCCUUAUCAUUAGUUGCCAACAUUUAAGGUGGGAACUCUAAUGAGACUGCCUGGGUUAACCAGGAGGAAGGUGAGGAUGACGUCAAGUCCGCAUGGCCCUUAUGUCUGGGGCUACACACGUGCUACAAUGGUCGGUACAGAAGGCGGCGAAGCCGAGAGGUGGAGCAAAUCCCAAAAACCGAUCUCAGUUCAGAUUGUAGUCUGCAACUCGACUACAUGAAGUUGGAAUUGCUAGUAAUGGCGAGUCAGCAACAUCGCCGUGAAUACGUUCCCGGGCCUUGUACACACCGCACUACUA
rnacentral:rRNA from 1 species